rnacentral:rRNA from 1 species
UACGUAGGUGGCAAGCGUUAUUCGGAUUGAUUGGGCGUAAAGGGUGUGUAGGCGGUAUACUAAGUCAAUUGUUAAAUCUCUCAGCUCAACUGGGAAUCAGCGGUUGAAACUAGUAUGCUGGAGGAUGGGAGAGAGAAGUGGACUUCUCGGAGUAGCGGUAAAAUGCGGAGAUCUCGAGAGGAACAACGAGGGCGAAGGCAGCUUCUUGGCCCAUUCCUGACGCUGAUACACGAAAGCGUGGGGAGCAAACAGG